rnacentral:rRNA from 1 species
UACCCGCUGAAUUUAAGCAUAUAAAUAAGCAGAGGAAAAGUAACUAACUAGGAUUGGUUUAGUAACGGCGAGUGAAGUUCCAAUUGCCCAAUCUGUGAAUUGAUACUUGUAUCAAAUUGUGGAAUGUUGGUUGAUCUGUUCAAUCUGUAAACCAAGUCCCCUGGAAUGGGGCAGCAAAGAGGGUGAGACUCCCGUACGUUUGCGGAUGUGAAGGUCAACCUAAGAGUCGAGUUGUUUGGGAUUGCAGCUCAAAGUGGGUGGUAAAUUCCAUCUAAGGCAAAAUAUUGGCAAGAGACCGAUAGUGUACAAGUACCGUGAGGGAAAGAUGCAAAGCCGCGCGAGAGCGCUGUCAAAGAGUACCUGAAAUUGCUGAAAAGGAAGCGAAGGGAACCAGUGUUAGCCAACCUGCACUUCCCCCAAUGCUUGCAUUAGGGGCGCUGCAGCUGGUGUUAUUUGGCUUUACGGUCGCAGUAGAAGAUGAUGAUACUGCAUUCUGUUGAGUCAAAUGAAAUGGUUCUCUUUUUCCCGUCUUGAAACA